CUGGAUGUCGAUUUAUUAUCGUAACAUUUAAGUUAAAUGAGAAAAAUAAAAUAAUCGUUCCCAUUUUUAUUAUCGUAUAAUAAAAUGAUACAAGACUGUACCCUGUUAAACUCUGUUGUGUAUCACCGGAAACUGAUUUAAACCGAGGCGAUCGCGAUGAUUCAAAUAAAUUCAGCUUAGUUAAUACCCUAAUUUUUACUUUCUGAAACCUGAACACAUUAAAAUCGUUAUUUUUAACUCUAGCUAGGGCAGAGCAUAUAUUUUGUUU